GACAUAGGUGGCAAACGUUAUCCGGAAUUAUUGGGCGAAAAGGGUGCGUAGGGGGUUUAAUAAGUUAUUGGUGGGAAAACGGGGCCCAACUCCGUGGAAGCUAGUAAUACUAUUAGACUAGAGGACCGGAGAGGUUAACGGAAUGGCUCGUGUAGGGGUAAAAUCCGUAAAUACGAGUUGGAACACCAAAAGGCGAAGGCAGUUAACUAUUCGGUUCCUGACAUUGAGGCACGAAAGCGUGGGGAGCAAGACGG
rnacentral:rRNA from 1 species